rnacentral:rRNA from 1 species
UACAGAGGUCUCAAGCGUUGUUCGGAUUCAUUGGGCGUAAAGAGCUCGUAGGCGGUUUGUCGCGUCUGCUGUGAAAUCCCGAGGCUCAACCUCGGGCCUGCAGUGGGUACGGGCAGACUUGAGUGGUGUAGGGGAGACUGGAAUUCCUGGUGUAGCGGUGGAAUGCGCAGAUAUCAGGAGGAACACCGAUGGCGAAGGCGGGUCUCUGGGCAGUAACUGACGCUGAGGAGCGAAAGCGUGGGGAGCGAACAGG